AUUGAACGCUGGCGGCAGGCCUAACACAUGCAAGUCGAGCGCGAAAGGUUUUCGGACUGAGUAAAGCGGCGGACGGGUGAGUAAUGCAUGGGAAUCUGCCUGGUAGUGGGGGACAACGUUUCGAAAGGAACGCUAAUACCGCAUACGCCCUACGGGGGAAAGGGGGGGAGUCUUCGGACCUCUCGCUAUCAGAUGAGCCCAUGUCAGAUUAGCUUGUUGGUGAGGUAAAGGCUCACCAAGGCGACGAUCUGUAACUGGUCUGAGAGGAUGAUCAGUCACACUGGAACUGAGACACGGUCCAGACUCCUACGGGAGGCAGCAGUGGGGAAUAUUGGACAAUGGGCGCAAGCCUGAUCCAGCCAAUGCCGCGUGUGUGAAGAAGGCCUAGGGUUAGUAAGACACUUUCAGUGGGGAGGAAAGGUUGGUUCACCUAAUACGUGAAUGAA
rnacentral:rRNA from 1 species